rnacentral:misc_RNA from 1 species
GAUGAAGAACGUAGUGAAAUGCGAUACUUGGUGUGAAUUGCAGAAUCCCGUGAACCAUCGAGUCUUUGAACGCAAGUUGCGCCCGAAGCCAUUAGGCCGAGGGCACGCCUGCCUGGGCGUCACACGUCGUUGCCCCCCCAUCUACUCCUUCGGGAUUGCGGGGGGCGGAUGAUGGCCUCCCGUGCGCCUCGUUGCGCGGUUGGCAUAAAUGCCAAGUCCUCGGCGACGCACGCCACGACAAUCGGUGGUUGCGAAACCUCGGUUGCCCGUCGUGUGCGUUCGUCGCGCAUCGAGGGCUCGAAAAAAUGCUCGGCUCCGGCUCGGCUUUCAACGCGACCCCAGGUCAGGCGGGGUUACCCGCUGAAUUUAAGCAUAUCAAUAAGCGGAGGA